ensembl:lncRNA
UUUUGCCUUUGUAAGUGAACUCUGGAGUAACUACUUGUGUUUGUGGGCAGUGCAGUUGCAGAGAGAGAAGGCAGUCAGCUGCCUGGACACAGAGUCCUAUCCCUCCUUUGCACCAGCAGCUAUUCCAGACACACCAAGCCGUGGACCCUCUGACAGCACUCUUUGCUAUUGUAUCUGUCAGGGAAGUGUUCCUAACAGACGUGGCCUUGGCAGCAAUCCUUGCUUACCAACAUGCCCUUGUGAGGAAGUAUGCUCCAUGGUUCAGUUACUCACAAGAAGACUGAUGGCUGGAAGAAAACCAACAAAAGCCCAAGCAGGCUAGCAGGAGGUUGGCUGACAAGCCUGUAAAGGGAAGGAGGAGGCUGAAGUCCCACCACCAUAUGGCAGAGGAGAAAUGGAGACAUCAGCAUCUCGCCGGUAUGGUUUGCAGCGAGCAUUCGCCCUACCCUAUAAAUGCAAUGGGAGACUUAAGCCCAUAGCUGACAUGGAAAUGAAAGUUUUGGUGAAUGAGUCUUCUUGAAGUAAUAAAUGCAUUUUCUUGCUUCUUAGCAAAAUACAUCUUCUCUUAUCUUCUGACAUCACCUGAUUAAACCCUUUACUGCAGGUCACUAAUGAGUGCUAGGCUG